UACGUAGGGGGCUAGCGUUGUCCGGAUUUAUUGGGCGUAAAGGGUGCGUAGGCGGGUCUUUAAGUCAGGGGUGAAAUCCUGGAGCUCAACUCCAGAACUGCCUUUGAUACUGAAGAUCUUGAGUUCGGGAGAGGUGAGUGGAACUGCGAGUGUAGAGGUGAAAUUCGUAGAUAUUCGCAAGAACACCAGUGGCGAAGGCGGCUCACUGGCCCGAUACUGACGCUGAGGCACGAAAUCGUGGGGAGCAAACAGG
rnacentral:rRNA from 1 species